UCCCCGGUAGCUCAACGGUAGAGCAUUCGGCUGUUAACCGGAGGGUUGUAGGUUCCUACCUGAGGAGCCA
rnacentral:tRNA from 1 species